UUUCAAUUAAAGAUUAGCAAAUAUAAUCAAACAUCAAUCAAAUUCAAUCAAAAUUUCAAAGGAAUUAUGUAAAAAGUAAAAAAUAUUCCUAAAGACCCUUUAAAGAACCAUAAAGAAUUAAUUUAGAAAUUCAAAAAUAUACUAAAAUAGAAACCUUAAUAAAAUAUUAAAAUAGAAAUUGAAUUAAAUCCUAGUCGAAAUCUAAUCAAAUUUUAGUCAAAUUCUAGUUAAAUCCUAAUCAAACCUUAUAUAAAUCCUAGUCAAAUCCUAAAAAAUCUUAAUCAAAUCCUAAUCAAAUUCAAAAUAAAUCUUAAUCAAAUCCUAAUCAAAUCUUAAAUAAAUCCUAAUCAAAUCCUAAUCAAAUCCUAAAUAAACCUUAACCAAACUUCAAUCAAAUCCUAAACAAACCAUAAAUAAAUCCUAACCAAAUCCUAAAAAAAUCCUAAAAAAAUUUUAAACAAAACUUAAACAAAUCCUAAAAAAAUCCUUAAAAAAUCUUAAAUAAAUCCUAACCAAAUCUUAAACAAAUCCUAACCUAAUCCUAAAUAAAUCCUAAUCAAAUCCUAAACAAAUCUUAAUUAAAUCCUAAUCAAAAUCUUAAAAAAUCUUAAUCAAAUCCUAAACAAAUCCUAA
rnacentral:lncRNA from 1 species